rnacentral:rRNA from 1 species
UACGUAGGGUGCGAGCGUUUGUCCGGAAUUAUUGGGCGUAAAGAGCUCGUAGGCGGUGUGUCGACGGUCGGCCGUGAAAACCUGCAGCUUAACUGUGGGCUUGCGGUCGAUACGGGCAUCACUGGAGUUCGGCAGGGGAGACUGGAAUUCCUGGUGUAGCGGUGAAAUGCGCAGAUAGUCAGGAGGAACACCGGUGGCGAAGGCGGGAUCUCUGGGGCCGAUACUGACGCUGGAGGAGCGA